rnacentral:rRNA from 1 species
AUGGCUCUCUCUAAUCUCAAGUUCGAGCAAGGCUUGGCCUUCGAAGCCUUCAUUUGGAAGCAAUUUGGUGUGCCAAUCAAUCAUUUUGAAGGUGGUGAGCUCAAGGAAUUCUUCCUGGUGGCAGAGGUGACCCGAUCUAAACUUCGUAUCAAUGUUGAUUCGGUCAGUCUCAUGCUUCAAUCUUGCUUUGGGGGUCAUGCUUCUCGUUUCAAAGUUUCAUGCCUUCAAAAUUGGUCCUUCAAGUUCAGUGUUUCAUCCAAGAGUGUGGGUUUUGCUAUCAUCAAAGGGGGGAAUUGCGUCAAUGAUCUUUUUAGUCUGGGUUUUUUCCUUUGGGGCAAUGGUGGACCUGAUUUCCACAAAGAGUUCCGGCUAUAUCAGCAAGAACUUGAUCAAGAAUAUACUGUGGUAAACCGUUCUGGUGAUCGUAGAUCUUAUGCCGAGGCUGUUCAAACUCCAAGGUUCUUUCGCGGCCACAACUCCACUGCUCGAUCUCCGGCUAGAUCACCGGUCAGAUCCGCUGCUACUCGUCCCCUGUCAGUUUCUGAACGCCUAACUCAAAUCAACGGCAUCGUUAAACCCGGUCUUAACUGCGCCCAAUAA